UACGUAGGGGGCAAGCGUUGUCCGGAUUUAUUGGGCGUAAAGAGCGUGUAGGCGGCCUGAAAGGUCAGCUGUGAAAACUCGAGGCUCAACCUCGAGACGUCGGUUGAAACCAUCUGGCUAGAGUCCGGAAGAGGAGUGUGGAAUUCCCGGUGUAGCGGUGAAAUGCGCAGAUAUCGGGAAGAACACCCGUGGCGAAAGCGGCUCACUGGACCGCAACUGACGCUGAGGCGCGAAAGCUAGGGGAGCAAACAGG
rnacentral:rRNA from 1 species